UAUGUUGUGGACUAAUGGGUAAGUCAUAAAUUUUUGAUAUUUACUAUUAAGUGUUCGAAUCACUUCAACAUAA